GUUCAGAGAUGGGAAUCGAACCCACAGUGUUCCAGGCAGAUGCCAUGUCCACUAGGCCACCCUGGA